GACCCUCGAUAUUCGAGCCUAUUCUCUCUCCAUUAUCUCCUCAACCGCGUCGUCUUCGCCCGCAACAUCUUGCCAGGGCCGGUGCCCUCCUCCCCCUCCUGGCCAUGUCCAGCGCCGCCGCCUUUUUCCUCGGCCUGUGCCGGCGCCCGCUCCGUCUUGCCCUUCGAUUCCUCCCAAAAAAGGCAUGUGCUUCUCUUCGGAUGCACCAAUGGCGCCCCGACGAGGAUAUCAAGUUCUUCAGCCGGACGGGUUCGAGGAGAAGGCAGGAACUCGCGGCGGCGAAUCUCUAGAUCCUCGGAUGCCGGCGAGCGGCUAGCGGCGGCAUGUAGAGCCGGGGCAGGAAGCGGCGGGGAAACCUUAGGGCUCCCGAACGCUCGGUACGGACGCCCUCCUAGCUUCUCCGUCCUCCACCUCCGCUCCGCCUGUGAACACAGCGUAGGCCCAACCAUCGAGCGCUCCAGGCUUCAGCACUCUAUUCCUCCUCGUCUGUAGCAGGAAGGACGAGGAUGGAAACGGCUGCAGUUAUCACCGGAUCUGUGAUGGUACUCUCCUGUGGCGCCUAAUAUAGGAGGAUGCCAUCCAUCUGAGAGCACGAGCAUGCUGGACUAUUGGGCAGCAGCGGUUCGAGAUCUGAAGAUAUUUACACAGCUUGAGUUACUUCAGUUUUUUGAGCCCUACUGCUUGGGAAGGGCUGCUGAUUUCGAGGAUAGUUCAUGCCCAUGAGGGAGCUGGUGCUGUUGCAUGCAUAGGCGUCGUGACUGCGACUGCAAGAGGAUACGGUGGAGGUGCAGCAUCACAUGUGAGGGCUCGAUGGUGGAGCGGCGCUUCAUCGGUGGCAGCCUCGCUGCUCUGGAGCCAUUGCUCGCUACAGCUGCUCCCCCCUCCAAUAUUUCAGGCGAUAAUUGUUGGUACUUCAGUUGUUUGCUUUGCUCUGCUACCUUCCCACAAUUCAUUUGGUAAUUAUUGGUACUUCGGUUGAUCCUUGAGGCAUUGAGGAGGGGGAAAACGAUUAAGGAGGAGAUGGGGCUGUACAUGGAGAGAUUUUGCUGCUAUCUAGCUAGAAGCAUCCUCAGUUACUUUAAAGUCAGCGAUCAAAAUGUUAGAGGUAACAAUACACUGGUUAAUAGAUUGUAAUUUCUCCUCCUGUUAGUGUUGGUGAACCAGAAAAAACAUUGAUAAUACGUGUGGUCAGUUUUGGGGGUGAAAAUAAUUUGAAUUUUCUCAAGAUGUUAGCAUUCCUCUUACAAAAAUUAUGUGAUCGUCUCUGUAUUCAGUAACAAUGUGUUAUUUCUGGAAUACAUAUGGUUUAGUUUAUAUCCAUCAGAUUUUAUUUUGUAUAUGUUUAGCUUAUGAUUUAGUUGAUAUACACUUCGCACACGGAAUAUGCUGCUUUAAAACGGUAUGAAGACUGGGUCGUUGGGUGAGCAGCUUUCUGCUAAGGUUGCAAUUUCUAUGAAUUGAAUCAAAUUUGCACAAAUCAGUGAAACUGAACCUGAAAAAUAGUCAUGUAUAUUGAAUCAAAUUUGCACAAAUCAGUGAAACUGAACCUGAAAAAUAGUCCUGUAUUAAGGGUGAUUAUAUAGUGUAUGAAGGAAUGCACAAUUGGUGUAAAAUAAACACACAUUACUGGAACCAUCAACACAUGAUUUCUACAGGUUGAAUGGACGUGCCUAACAUGAUCUCAGUUAGUGUUUUCUGUUCUAAUUUGGUUCUGACUUAUAAAGAAUGGUUUGCUACUUCUUUCUCAGUGGUUUAAGACAUGCAUCAGAUUUCUCAGUGAAGUUUGUUGGUGAGGUUUACAUGGAGGGUACAGCCCCGGAACGACUCUACUUAUUUCGGGCAUGCCUUGCCUCCAACCAAACCAUUCUACUCUAUCCUUUAUCUGGAUGUGCUAAGGCUCAAGGGUAAGGCUUAUGCGGUGACUAUUUUCAAAAAUGGCUCAAAAAUGCUAAUGUGGUUUGUGGUUUUUGUUUGUUGGUUUGCAUCUGUUUUUGUCUUAUGACGAGAUUUCUAUCUUCCAUAACAUGAUGAUAGUACUUAUGUCAAUGCAAUAACAAAGAGGGAUUGAUUGCUGGGUUUGAAUUUCACAGCUAUAUAGGGAAGAAAGAGCCAGAGUUUCAAUAGUUAACAUGGCCCAGAAUGCCACGGUCCUUUUUAAGUCAAUGAAGAAUGGACUAUAUCAUCUUUCAGGUUUCUUUGGUAGGUAAAGAUCAUGAGUGUAAAUGGCGUAUUAGAAAUAACGUGGGCGCAGGCUUUUGUUAGAUGGUCAUCAGCCUACCAUGUGUACAUGGAAGUUGGUCACGUAACCUAUAUGUAGAUUUUGCUCCUUUGGUCAGUGGUUUAUGCAAUUAUUUGAUUUAACUAUUGAUCUAGACUUUAGUUUCAGUGAUGAAUUUAUAUAUAUAUAUUCUCUAGGAAAAUGAUUUCUUACUUGAGUUCUCACAUGUAGUUCAGGUGUCUCAUCGUAUAUUAUCCUAUUUAAGACAAGUAUAUUAAAAUUGUCGUGUCCUAUGUCGUUAAGAAAAAUCCAGAACAUACUAAAGUAUUUUCAUGGUAUACAUAGUCUUUACAUUAAUUCAGUAUGGCUGAGAUAAGGUUUCUGUAUAGAAAAAGAAUCAAUAUCAUGAUAGUUGAGUUCUCCUUGAACAGUGUGUUAUCGCAUCAUUCUAAGAAAUAGUUUAUAGAGCUUUGUUUUGAGGUUCCAAUGGUCAAUUGAGGCUAAACCAGAAUUAGAAGCCUUGGUAGUUGAAAUUAAAAAUACUAUUUUGCUUUGAAAUUCAAAUCUAGGAUAAAAAAAUUCUAGAUAGUUUCAUCCUUACUUUCCCAAUAUGUGUCAUAAGCGUUUCUUGAUUUGUCAUCUUCUGAUUGUGAAGAAUGUUCUGCAUUUGUACAGUGGGUUUUCGAUGUUGGAAAUGGUGAUAUUUUAGGACACUCCACAAGUGGGGAGGACUCCGGUUCCUGGAUAACAAUUCCUGAAGAUCUUGUGUUGCAUCCGACUUCCAGUAAUGUGGAUGCAGCCAUUCAGAGUGUUUAUGAUUCUUUCUUUAUCAGUUAUACUUCUGCUGAUUAUCUUGCACAACGUUCUAUUGUGUGUCCAACAAAUACAGUUGAUGAGAUUAAUGAUUCAGUAUUUCAGCUUGCGCUGGGAAGCUUCAGAGGUACUUCUGCUGUGACUCUAUAUUUAAAUCAACUGAUCAUGUUUCUGAUACUGACCAUCUCUACCCUCCUGAGUUUCCCCGCUCUGUGACAUCAAUAAUUUUCCUCAGCAUGAGCUUAAUUUGAAGGUUGGCGUCCUGAUGAUGCUUCUUAGAAACAUUAACCAGUCACUGGGCUUGUGUAACGGUUAUGGCUUGGCGGAGAAGUUCUGGAAGGGGAAAUAAUUAGUGGCUCGCAUAGAGGCAGGUGUGUCUAUUCCGAGAAUUGUUCUGAAUUCUGUUGAUUUGAAGUGGCCAUUUACAUCACAACGGUGCCAGUUCCCAGUUCUUUAAUGCUAAAGUAUCACUAUGGCGUGCCCACAAUUGGCAUUUCUACUGGUGGGUCUACAAGUCUGUCAUGAUGUCAUCUCUUGCCUUUGGUGUACUGCUGAUAUGCAACGGCCUUUGUUCGGCCACAAGCGCAAGCGACACUGCAAUAAUCACUGGUAAAUCGAUAUACAUUGGAUGAAGACGACGGGGUAGCUAAAGUAGGAUUUAUGUAUGGAUGUAAAACUUGGUAUAUCGUCCUGUGUACAAG